rnacentral:rRNA from 1 species
CUCUGCAACACUAUGUAUAGGAGGUCUUACCUGCCCAGUGAUAAAUUUUAACGGCCGCGGUAUUUUGACCGUGCGAAGGUAGCGCAAUCACUUGUCUUUUAAAUGAAGACCUGUAUGAAUGGUAGAACGAGGGCUUAACUGUCUCCCCUUUCAAGUCAAUGAAAUUGAUCUGCCCGUGCAGAAGCGGACAUAAACAUACAAGACGAGAAGACCCUUUGGAGCUUUAGAUAAAUGAUCACCUAUGUCAAGACAAAACUAAACUAAAUAGCAAUUGAUCAUAAUCUUUUGUUGGGGCGACCACGGGAAAAAACAAAGCUCCCAUGAGGAAUGGGAAAACCCCCAAAACCAAGAAAGACAUUUCCAAGUCACAGAACCUCUGACCUUAAAGAUCCGGCUAAACACCGAUCAACGGACCAAGUUACCCUAGGGAUAACAGCGCAAUCCCCUUCCAGAGUCCAUAUCGACAAGGGGGUUUACGACCUCGAUGUUGGAUCAGGACAUCCUAAUGGUGCAGCCGCUAUUAAGGGUUCGUUGUUCAACGAUUAAAGUCCUACGUGAUCUGAGUC